rnacentral:rRNA from 1 species
CAGCAGCCACGGGAAUACGGAGGGUGCAAGCGUUAAUCGGAAUUACUGGGCGUAAAGCGCACGCAGGCGGUCUGACAAGUCAGAUGUGAAAUCCCCGGGCUUAACCUGGGAACUGCAUUUGAAACUGUCAGGCUGGAGUCUUGUAGAGGGGGGUAGAAUUCCAGGUGUAGCGGUGAAAUGCGUAGAGAUCUGGAGGAAUACCGGUGGCGAAGGCGGCCCCCUGGACAAAGACUGACGCUCAGGUGCGAAAGCGUGGGGAGCAAACAGGAUUAGAUACCCCGGUAGUCCCUGUCUCUUAUAA